UUGACUUUUCUCACUUAAGGAUAGGGCCCACACUUGUUUCCUUUCUUUUUGGUUUCACAUGGCUCACUCUUCUUACACGUGAUUCCCAUCAAUAAACAAAGACAAACAAAAACAAGCAGCACACUUCUCUCCCUCCCACUUCUUCUCUCUCUUCCUUUUCUCCUUCUUUUUCUCUUUUCCCCUUUUCUCUCCCCCUGUUUCACGGCAGCAGCAGCCCUCACCAUUUCUUUUCUCUUCUUCCUCCCUUCUCCCUUGUCACGCACGCACAGCAGCUCGCCUCUUCUCUUUCCCUUCCCUUUCUUCUUCCUCUUCUCUCACUCGCACUCACGCACGCAUAGCAACCCAUGAGAGAGCCCGAAGUGCAGAAAUGCCGAGAGAGAGAACAGAUCGUGAGAGAGAGAUUUUGAAAUGGAAGCUGUCCAGCCAUGGGUAGAAGAAGAAAAGAUGGGGUUUUUGGCCAUGGACGUCUGGUGAGGAUCGUGUUAUAAUUGGAGACUUCAAUGGGUUCUCCAAUGUAGAGUCCAAAUGACUAGAGUCCAAGGAGUGUUCGAGUUGGAGUCUAAUGCAGCCAAGAUGAUGUUUCUUUGGCUGCAGGUACUACGGUAUAGUCGAUGGGUCGGUAGCAGUGUGCUUGGGAUAUUAUGACUGAAGCUCACCGCGACAGUUGUAAUUGUCGGAUCACGGGUUGUCCACUAUUUUAUAGGUUUGGUAUGGCUUGUGACGUUUGUGUCACUUAUUCUUUGUUAAGCCAUUAUUGUUAUUGUGUUAAUAAGACUUAAGCAUAUAGAUGUUAAAUGGCUCUUUGUUGUAAUUAACUUAUGAUAGAUGUAUAAGUUGUAAUUUUCGCUAUUCAAA